UACCGGUGGCCCGAGUGGUAGCCGCUUUUAUUGGGUCUAAAGGGUCCGUAGCCGGUUCGGUCAGUCCAUUGGGAAAUCCGGAUGCUCAACAUCCGGGCUUCCAGUGGAUACUGCCGAACUUGGGAUCGGGGGAGGUAAGAGGUACUAUAGGGGUAGGAGUGAAAUCUUGUAAUCCCUGUGGGACCACCUGUGGCGAAGGCGUCUUACCAAAACGAGUCCGACGGUGAGGGACGAAAGCUGGGGGCACGAA
rnacentral:rRNA from 1 species